rnacentral:rRNA from 1 species
GACGUAGGGUGCGAGCGUUGUCCGGAAUUAUUGGGCGUAAAGAGCUUGUAGGCGGUUUGUCGCGUCUGCUGUGAAAAUCCGGGGCUCAACCCCGGACUUGCAGUGGGUACGGGCAGGCUAGAGUGUGGUAGGGGAGACUGGAAUUCCUGGUGUAGCGGUGAAAUGCGCAGAUAUCAGGAGGAACACCGAUGGCGAAGGCAGGUCUCUGGGCCACUACUGACGCUGAGAAGCGAAAGCAUGGGGAGCGAACAGG